rnacentral:misc_RNA from 1 species
GACUCCGUUGGUGAACCAGCGGAGGCAUCAUUACAGGACUCGCAAGACUCCUACAACCCUGUGAACUUAACUAUAAGCACGUUGCUUCGGCGGGUGUCUCGGAGGGGGUUCUCCCUCCCCGAGACGCUAAACCCGCCGGCAGCCUACUAUACUCUGUCUCUUUGCGUUGGCAUCUCGAGUACAAUCAAACAAGUUAAAACUUUCAACAACGGAUCUCUUGGUUCUG